rnacentral:rRNA from 1 species
UACGGAGGGAGCUAGCGUUGUUCGGAUAUACUGGGCGUAAAGCGCACGUAGGCGGGUUGUUAAGUCAGGGGUGAAAUCCUGGAGCUCAACUCCAGAACUGCCUUUGAUACUGGCAACCUAGAGGCUGGAAGAGGUUAGUGGAAUUCCCAGUGUAGAGGUGAAAUUCGUAGAUAUUGGGAAGAACACCAGUGGCGAAGGCGGCUAACUGGUCCAGAUCUGACGCUGAGGUGCGAAAGCGUGGGGAGCAAACAGG